UAAAUCAAGAUCAAAUUGGAACCAUACAGGGAGGAUUAACAUGGCCUGUGAAAGGAUGAUCCCGCACAAAUCAAAAAAUGGUCAAAAAAAUU
rnacentral:sRNA from 1 species